GGAGAAGGAAUGUCCCUCAGUGGUAGAGGACAUGCUCUGCGUACAAAAGGUCCCAAGUUCAAUUCCUGGCAUCUCCA